rnacentral:misc_RNA from 1 species
GAGAAAGCCAACUUCUCUUAGGGGGUUGAUACCCAUCAGUUGCCCGGUUGGAAAUAUAAUGUGGGGAGACCUAAUCUCCAUUAAUCACCGUAUCAAAAUCAAUCAGUUCAGGAAGAGGAAUUUACAAAAAUAAUUCACCACAACUACUUUGAAUUAACCAGGAAUGUACAGAAACAAAUUGUUCAGAAAAAUGAUAAAAAUCAAUUUCCUUUUCUCGUUAGGGCAAUAAAAAAAUAAAUAAAAAAAACCCACAAAAUCUGUAACAAUUCACAAACCCAAAUGGUGUAAAAACAAGUCAAACUUUUGGCUUCCUCAGCUUCAAAUUUAACAGUAUUCACAUUGUCAAGUACUUGGCCUCUUUUCACUGUUUUUGCUUCGGAAGGGUGACAACAAGGAGAAAUGGCGAGGAGUCUUUUGAGCAGUACUACUAGCAGUGGGGGUUUCAUCCUGAGAGAUGAGAUUCUUCAACGUAUGAACUGGUGAUUACAACCAAAUAUUCAGGUCAGCUUGUAUUGUAGAUAUAUCAAUCACUAUUUAAAGCUUCUAAUGAUAAGUAUCCACCAGCAUAAAAUUCA